GAUGAACGCUGGCGGCGUGCCUAAUACAUGCAAGUCGAGCGAACAGACGAGGAGCUUGCUCCUCUGACGUUAGCGGCGGACGGGUGAGUAACACGUGGAUAACCUACCUAUAAGACUGGGAUAACUUCGGGAAACCGGAGCUAAUACCGGAUAAUAUAUUGAACCGCAUGGUUCAAUAGUGAAAGACGGUUUUGCUGUCACUUAUAGAUGGAUCCGCGCCGCAUUAGCUAGUUGGUAAGGUAACGGCUUACCAAGGCAACGAUGCGUAGCCGACCUGAGAGGGUGAUCGGCCACACUGGAACUGAGACACGGUCCAGACUCCUACGGGAGGCAGCAGUAGGGAAUCUUCCGCAAGGGGCGAAAGCCUGACGGAGCAACGCCGCGUGAGUGAUGAAGGUCUUCGGAUCGUAAAACUCUGUUAUUAGGGAAGAACAAAUGUGUAAGUAACUAUGCACGUCUUGACGGUACCUAAUCAGAAAGCCACGGCUAACUACGUG
rnacentral:rRNA from 1 species